AAGUUACAAAGGUAAUAAUUACCCUUAUUAACCUUGUACCAACGUCCCCUUAAAAGAAAAAUAUGAAAAAAAAAAAUAUGAAGAAAGCAAUUCUUUGCCCAAUUCAAUUACAAAAUCCCCACCCUAUUACAGUCCCUUUCUUCAUCUGCUUUUAACUGUUCCCUUAGUAUGACAAUUGUUACUUAUCUGCUAAUUUCAGCCUUAAGACCGGAAUUUGUCCUUCUUACUUCUUGGCUGUCAAUCACAAUCAACUUAAUCCCAUUUUCCAUGUGCCAAAACAACUAAUUUCCAUUCAAAAAUUAGCAUGUGCAUAUAAGAUUGACACAAAAGAAAGUGCAACAUGACAGAUCUGUCUUUCAGUUAAUUCAACAAAACUGGAUUUCUCAAUCAAUCCAAUCAAGCUAUAAAGGUGUGGGCCAUAAGCUUUUCUUGAUUGAAGACCCUUACAAGAGAUGUUACCUUGGGAAUUCCUUCCCUAUUUUUUUGGGGAGCUCUUUU
rnacentral:misc_RNA from 1 species